rnacentral:rRNA from 1 species
CAGUCGCCGCGGUAAUACGAAGGGGGCUAGCGUUGUUCGGAUUUACUGGGCGUAAAGGGUGCGUAGGCGGACUGAUAAGUCAGGGGUGAAAUCCCAAGGCUCAACCUUGGAACUGCCUUUGAUACUGUUAGUCUUGAGUUCGAGAGAGGUGAGUGGAACUGCGAGUGUAGAGGUGAAAUUCGUAGAUAUUCGCAAGAACACCAGUGGCGAAGGCGGCUUACUGGCUCGAAACUGACGCUGAGGCACGAAAGCGUGGGGAGCAAACAGGAUUAGAUACCCGUGUAGUCCCUGUCUCUUAUAU